rnacentral:lncRNA from 1 species
UAGACGGAUGCGAUCAUACCAGCACUAAUGCACCGGAUCCCAUCAGAACUCCGAAGUUAAACGUGCUUGGGCGAGAGUAGUACUAAGAUGGGUGACCUCUUGGGAAGUCCUCGUGUUGCACCCCCCUCUCUUCACAAAAUGUUUUGCCCCCUGCGUCGUCGACCCUUCUAACGAUAUAAAAUCAUGUAUAUUUCCUACAUUAUGACGUAGGGGAACCGAGACCGUUGGUAAUUCCGAGGUUCGGGUGGAAAACGGCCAAAACGCAGUUUAAAGUAAGAUAAAAAAUUGAAAAUUAAGGGAGGAAGUAGUGACGGGAUUGGUUGAUAUACACAUGAGCGUGAGCAGUGGACGGGUGCGAUCAUACCAACACUAAUGCCUCGGACCCCAUGGGCCGUCACCACGUCUCUAAAGAUAAAUUAUGUACAUUUCUUAUAUUACGAAAUAGGGCAACCGAGACCGUGGGUUGUUAUGAGGGUCGGGCGAAAAAGGGCGAAACUAAACGCAUUUAAAAUUAAGUGAAGAGAUUGCAAAUCAAAGGAGGAACUAGUGACAGUCGUUCUUUAUAUACACAUGACUGUGAGAAGUAGACGGAUGCGAUCAUACCAGCGUUAAUGUACUAGAUCUCAUCAGAACUGCAACGUCAAACGUGCUUGGGCGAGAGUAGUACUAAGAUGGGUGACCUCUUCGGAAGUUCUCGUAGUGCACCCCCUCCUUUUGCAAUUUUCCUCCGGCGACGUUAUCGACACGCUUAGCGAGGUUACAUCGUUUAUAUUACGUGCAUAAUGACGGAGGGGAACCGAGAGGGGGGUACUUUCCAGGCUCGGGCGGGAACGGGGCAAAAUGUAAUGAAAAAAGGCUAAAUUAAACGCAUUUCAAAUUAAGUGAAAAAAUUGAAAUUCAAAGGAGGAACUAGUGACGGUCGUGGUUUAUAGACACAUGACUUUGAGAAAUAGACGGAUGCGAUCAUAUCAGCACUAAUACACUGGAUCUCAUCAGAACUUUAAAGUUAAAUGUGCUUGUGCGAGAGUAGUACGAAGAUGGGUGACCUCUUCGGAAGUCCACAUGUUGCGCCCCCUACUUUCUUAAAUAUUUUACACCCCUUCAGCCGUCGACACGUCUCUCGUGAUAAAUCAUGGUAUUUGUGAGGUUUGUUUCUCGGGGGAACCGAGAGCGUGGGUAAUUUAAAAGGCGGGACGAAAAAGGCACAAAUUAAACACAGUUAAAAGUAACGGAAAAGGUUAGAAAUGAAGGGAGGAACUAGUGACGGUAGUGGUUCAUAGACACAUGAUUGUGAGAAGUUGAUGGAUGCGAUCAUACCAGUGCUAAUGCAUGAGAUCUCAUCAGAAGUUCGAAGUUGAACGUGUUUGGGCGAGAGUAGUACUAAGAUGGCUGACCUCUUCGGAAGUGCUCGUAGUCCACCCCCUCUUUUCACAAAUUUUGUAGACCCCAUGAGCCGUCGCCACGUCUCUAGAGAUAAAUUAUGUACAUUUCUUAUGUUACGACAUAGGGCAACCGAGACCGUGGGUAGUUAUGAGGGUCGGGCGAAAAAUGGCAAAACUAAAUGCAUUUAAAAUUAAGUGAAAAGAUUGAAAAUCACAGUAGGAACUAGUGACAGUCGUGGUUCAUAUACACAUGACUGUGGACCAAAAGAGGAACUAGUGACGGUUGUGGUUUAUAUACACAUGACUGUGAGAAGUAGACGGAUGCGAUCAUACCAGCACUAAUACACUAGAUCUCAUCAGAACUUUAAAGUUAAAUGUGCUUGUGCGAGAGUAGUACGAAGAUGGGUGACCUCUUCGGUAGUCCUCAUGUUGCACCCCCUAUUUUCAUUAAUAUUUUACACCCCUUCAACCGUCGACACGUCUCUCGUGAUAAAUCAUGUACAUUUCUUAGAUGAUGACAUAGGGGAACCGUGAGCGUGGGUAAUUUAAAGGGUUGGACGAAAAAGGCACAAAUAUAACGCUGUUAAAACUAAGAGAAAAGGUUAGAAAUGAAUGGAGGAACUAGUGACGGUAGUGGCUCAUAGACACAUGACUGUGAGAAGUAGAUGGAUGCUAUGACAUAGGGGAACCGAGAGCAUGGGUAAUUUCAAAGAUUGGACGAAAAAGGCACAAAUUAAAUGCAGUUAAAAGUAAUAGAAAAGGUUAGAAAUGAAGGGAGGAACUAGUGACGGUAGUGGUUCAUAGACACAUGACUGUGAGAAGUAGAUGGAUACGAUCAUACCAGCGCUAAUGCGCUAGAUCUCAUCAGAACUUCGACGUUAAACGUGCUUGGGCGAGAGUAGUACUAAGAUAGGUGACCUCUUGGGAAGUCAUAACUUCGAAGUUGAACGUGUUUGGGCGAGAGUAGUACUAAUAUGGCUGACCUCUUCGGAAGUGCUCGUAGUUCACCCCCUCUUUUGACAAAUUUUGUAGACCCCAUGAGUCGUCGCCACGUCUCUAGAGAUAAAUUAUGUACAUUUCUUAUAUUAUGACAUAGGGCAACCGAGACCGUGGGUAGUCGGGCGAAAAAAGGCUAAAUUAAACGCAUUUAAAAUUAAGUGAAAAGAUUGAAAGUCAAAGGAGGAACUAGUGACAGUCGUGGUUUAUAUAGACAUGACUGUGAGAAGUAGACGGAUGCGAUCAUACCAGCACUAAUGCACUCGAUCUCAUCAGAACUUCAAAGUUAAAUGUGCUUGUGCAAGAGUAGUUCGAAGAUGGGUGACCUCUUCGGGAGUUCUUUCGAAAGUUCUCGUAGUGCACCCCCUCUUUUGACAAAUUUUGUAGACCCCAUGAGUCGUCGCCACGUCUCUAGAGAUAAAUUAUGUACAUUUCUUAUAUUACGACAUAGGGCAACCUAGACUGUGGGUAGUUAUGAGGGUCGGGCGCAAAAGGGCAAAAUUAAACGUAUAUAAAAUUAGAAGAAACGAUUGAAAUUCAAAGGAGGAACUAGUGACGGUCGUGGUUUAUAUACACAUGCCUGUGAGAAGUAGACGGAUGCGGUCAUACCAAUACUAAUGCAAUGGAUUGCAUCAGAAAUUCAAAGUUAAAUGUGCUUGGCGAGAGUUGUACGAAGAUGGGUGACCUUUAGGUAGUCCUCGUGUUGCACCCCCUCUUUUCAUAAAUAUUUUACACCCCUUCAGCCGUCGACACGUCUCUCGUGAUAAAUAUUAGGACGUAGGGGAAUCGAGACCGUUGGUAAUUCCGAGGUUCGGGUUGAAAAGGGCCAAAAUGCAGUUUAAAGUAUGAUAAAAUAUUGAAAAUGAAGGGAGGAAGUAGUGACGUGAUUGGUUGAUAUACACAUGAGGGUGAGCAGUGGACGGGUGCGAUCAUAUCAGCACUAAUGCACCGUAUCCCAUCAGAACUCCGAAGUUAAACGUGCUUGGGCGAGAGUAGUACUAAGAUUGUGACCUCUUGGGAAGUCCUCGUGUUGCACCCCCCUCUCUUCACAAAAUGUUUUGCCCCCUGUGUCGUCGACCCUUCUAACGAUAUAACAUCAUGUAUAUUUCCUACAUUAUGACGUAUGGGAACCGAGACCGUUGGUAAUUCCGAGGUUCGGGUUGAAAAGGGCCAAAACGCAGUUUAAAGUAUGAUAAAAGUUUGAAAAUGAAGGGAGGAAGUAGUGACGGGAUUUGUUGAUAUACACAUGAGGGUGAGCAGUGGACGGGUGUGAUCAUACCAGCACUAAUGCACCGGAUCCCGUCAGAACUCCGAAGCUAAAUGUGCUUGGGCGAGAGUAGUACUAAGAUUGGUGACCUCUUGGGAAGUCCUCGUGUUGCACCCCCCUCUCUUCACAAAAUGUUUUGCCCCCUGCGUCGUCGACCCUUCUAACUAUAUAAAAUCAUGUAUAUUUCCUACUUUAUGACGUAGGGGAACCGAGACCGUUGGUAAUUCCGAGGUUCGGGUUGAAAAGGGCCAAAACGCAGUUUAAAGUAUGAUAAAAGAUUGAAAAUGAAGGGAGGAAUUAGUGACGGGAUUGGUUGAUAUACACAUGAGGGUGAGUAGUGGACGGGUGCGAUCAUACCAGCACUAGUGCACCGGAUCCCAUCAGAACUCCGAAGAUAAACGUGCUUGGGCGAGAGUGGUACUAAGAUGGGUGACCUCUUGGGAAGUCCUCGUGUUGCACCCCCCUCUCUUCACAAAAUGUUUUGCCCCCUGCGUCGUCGACCCUUUAACGAUAUAUAAUCAUGUAUAUUUCCUACAUUAUGACGUAGGGGAACCGAGACCGUUGGUAAUUCCGAGGUUCGGGUGGAAAAGGGCCAAAUCGCAGUUUAAAGUAAGAUAAAAGAUUGAAAAUGCAGGGAGGAAGUAGUGACGGGAUUGGUUGAUAUACACAUGAGCGUGAGCAGUGGACGGGUGCGAUCAUACCAGCACUAAUGCAACUGAUCCCAUCAGAACUCCGAAGUUAAACGUGCUUGUGCGAGAGUAGUACUAAGAUGGGUGACCUCUUGGGAAGUCCUCGUGUUGCACCCCCCUCCUCUUUUUGCAAUUUUUUCUCCCGGCGACGUUAUGGACACUCUUACCGAGAUUACAUCGUUUAUAUUACACGCAUAAUGAGGGAGGGGAACGGAGGGAUCGGUCAUUUUCGAGGCUCGGGCGGGAACGGGCUGAAAUGUAAUUAAAAGAAAGCGAAAAGCGUGAAAAUGAAGGGAGGAAGUAGUGACGGGAGUGGUUCAAAUAAGAGUGAUCGUGAGAAGUCAACGGGUGCGAUUAUACCAGCACUAAUGCACCGGAUCCCAUUAGAACUCCGAAGUUAAACGUGCUUGUGCGAGAGUAGUACUAAGAUGGGUGACCUCUUGGGAAGUCCUCGUGUUGCACCCCCCUCCUCUUUUUGCAAUUUUUUCUCCCGGCGACGUUAUGGACACUCUUACCGAGAUUACAUCGUUUAUAUUACACGCAUAAUGAGGGAGGGGAACGGAGGGAUCGGUCAUUUUCGAGGCUCGGGCGGGAACGGGCUGAAAUGUAAUUAAAAGAAAGCGAAAAGCGUGAAAAUGAAGGGAGGAAGUAGUGACGGGAGUGGUUCAAAUAAGCGUGAUCGUGAGAAGUGGACGGGUGCGAUCAUUCCAGCACUAAUGCACCGGAUCCCAUUAGAACUCCGAAGUUAAACGUGCUUGGGUGAGAGUAGUACUAAGAUGGGUGACCUCUUGGGAAGUCCUCGUGUUGCACCCCCCUCCUCUUUUUGCAAUUUUUUCUCCCGGCGACGUUAUGGACACUCUUACCGAGAUUACAUCGUUUAUAUUACACGCAUAAUGAGGGAGGGGAACGGAGGGAUCGGUCAUUUUCGAGGCUCGGGCGGGAACGGGCUAAAAUGUAAUUAAAAGAAAGCGAAAAGCGUGAAAAUGAAGGGAGGAAGUAGUGACGGGAGUGGUUCAAAUAAGCGUGAUCGUGAGAAGUGGACGGGUGCGAUCAUACUAGCACUAAUGCGCCGGAUCCCAUCAGAACUCCGAAGUUGAACGUGCUUGGGCGAGAGUAGUACUAAGAUGGGUGACCUCUUGGGAAGUCCUCGUGUUGCACCCCCUCCUUUUGCAAUUUUUCUCCGGCGACGUUAUGGGCACGCUUAGCGAGGUUACAUCGUUUAUAUUACGUGCAUAAUGACGGAGGGGAACCGAGAGGGGGGUACUUUCCAGGCUCGGGCGGGAACGGGGCAAAAUGUAAUUAAAAGAAAGCGAAAAGCAUGAAAAUGAAGGGAGGAAGUAGUGACGGGAGUGGUUCAAAUAAGAGUGAUCGUGAGAAGUCAACGGGUGCGAUUAUA